AUACGUAGGGUGCGAGCGUUGUCCGGAAUUACUGGGCGUAAAGAGCUCGUAGGUGGUUUGUCGCGUCGUCUGUGAAAUUCCGGGGCUUAACUCCGGGCGUGCAGGCGAUACGGGCAUAACUUGAGUACUGUAGGGGAGACUGGAUUUCCUGGUGUAGCGGUGAAAUGCGCAGAUAUCAGGAGGAACACCGGUGGCGAAGGCGGGUCUCUGGGCAGUAACUGACGCUGAGGAGCGAAAGCAUGGGUAGCGAACAGGAUUAGAUACCCUGGUAGUCCAUGCCGUAAACGGUGGGCGCCAGGUGUAGGGGUCUUCCACGACUUCUGUGCCGUAGCUAACGCAUUAAGCGCCCCGCCUGGGGAGUACGGCCGCAAGGCUAAAACUCAAAGGAAUUGACGGGG
rnacentral:rRNA from 1 species